rnacentral:lncRNA from 1 species
GGCUGAAAUUGAAUUAGACAUGAAUUGGAUAUCAAUACAUCCAUAUUCAUAUUUAUUUUAUUUGAUAAAUAUAAAUAUGAAUACAGAUAUUAGUCAGAUGUGACAAUUCAUAUCUAUAUUUAUUUUAAAUGAUUACAGAUAUAAAUCAGAUACAAAAAGUAUGAAUAUUGUUGUAGAGGGAUGAUAUCUUUAGUCUCACAUCGGUUAUGAGUCAAGAGGGAGUAUGGCUUAUAUAGAUUAAAACAUUCUCUUUCACGUGAGGUGUCUUUUAAAGGACAAAACCAUAAGGUUCCAAAUGGCUAAGGCCCACUGAAGCCCA